AUACGGAGGGUGCAAGCGUUAAUCGGAAUUACUGGGCGUAAAGCGUGCGUAGGUGGUUUGUUAAGUUAGAUGUGAAAGCCCCGGGCUCAACCUGGGAACUGCAUUUGAAACUGGCAUACUAGAGUAUAGGAGAGGAAAGUGGAAUUUCAGGUGUAGCGGUGAAAUGCGUAGAUAUCUGAAGGAACAUCAAUGGCGAAGGCAGCUUUCUGGACUAAUACUGACACUGAGGUACGAAAGCGUGGGUAGCAAACGGGAUUAGAAACCCCAGUAGUCC
rnacentral:rRNA from 1 species